AGCAGCCGCGGUAAUUCCAGCUCCAAUAGCGUAUAUUAAAGUUGUUGCAGUUAAAAAGCUCGUAGUUGAAUUUCGGGAUCAAUAUAUUGGUCGUGCCUUCGGUAUGCACUGGUAUUAUUGAUUUCUACCUUCUGACGAACUAUGAUGUCAUUAAUUUGGUGUCAUGGGGAAUCAGGACUGUUACUUUGAAAAAUUAGAGUGUUUAAAGCAGGCACACGCUUGAAUACAUUAGCAUGGAAUAAUGAAAUAGGACGUUUGACCCUAUUUUGUUGGUUUUUAGGAUCGACGUAAUGAUUAAUAGGGAUAGUUGGGGGCAUUAGUAUUCAAUUGUCAGAGGUGAAAUUCUUGGAUUUAUUGAAGACUAACUACUGCGAAAGCAUUUGCCAAGGAUGUUUUCAUUAAUCAAGAACGAAAGUUAGGGGAUCGAAGACGAUCAGAUACCGUCGUAGUCUUAACCAUAAACUAUGCCGACUAGGGAUCGGAUGAUGUUAAUUUUUAAUGACUCAUUC
rnacentral:rRNA from 1 species